rnacentral:lncRNA from 1 species
GGAAAUUAAAAUAUUCAUUACUUUUCACUCGGAUGUCUGAUUCAGGCACAUCAGAUAUCGAGACACUCGAAAUUGAACAACGGAAGCUCUCGAGAAAUUCAAAUGGUCAUACCUUUUCAUACGGAUGUCCGAUUCAGGCACAUCACAUGUCGAGACUCUCCAAAUUUAACAACGUAAGCUCUCGAGAAAUUAAAAUGGUCAUAACUUUUCACACGGAGGUCCAA